UAAUUUGAUAAUCCACAAAAAACCUUACCACAACUUGAAUAGCUAUAUCUUGUUUAAAAUCAUAAGCAAGAUAUAUUUACAAGCGUUGCACGGCUGUCUUCAGUUAAUGUCGUGAGAUUUGGUUAGAUCCAUUAAAUUAACGCAAACCCUUGCUUUAUUUUUAAAUAAUGCAGUUCAUCCACUACAACGGAUAUGAUAACAGGGACUAAGACAAGUCAUCAUGGCCCGACAUGUUGU
rnacentral:rRNA from 1 species